rnacentral:rRNA from 1 species
UAACACAUGCAAGUCGCAGCGGAGUGAUGGUGCUUGCACUAUCACUUAGCGGCGGCCGGGUGAGUAAUGCUUAGGAAUCUGCCUAUUACUGGGGGACAACAUUUCGAAAGGAAUGCUAAUACCGCAUACGUCCUACGGCAGAAAGCAGGGGAUCUUCGGACCUUGCGCUAAUAGAUGAGCCUAAGUCGCAUUAGCUAGUUGGUGGGGUAAAGGCCUACCAAGGCGACGAUCUGUAGCGCGUCUGAGAGGAUGAUCCGCCACACUGGGACUGAGACACGGCCCAGACUCCUACGGGAGGCAGCAGUGGGGAAUAUUGGACAAUGGGCGCAAGCCUGAUCGAGCCAUGCCGCGUGUGUGAAGAAGGCCUUAUGGUUGUAAAGCACUUUAAGCGAGGAGGAGGCUACUGAAGUUAAUACCUUCAGAUAGUGGACGUUACUCCCAGAAUAAGCACCGGCUAACUCUGUGCCAGCAGCCGCGGUAAUACAGAGGGUGCAAGCGUUAAUCGCAUUUACUGGGCGUAAAGCGCGCGUAGGCGGCUAAUUAAGUCAAAUGUGAAAUCCCCGAGCUUAACUUGGGAAUUGCAUUCGAAACUGGUUAGCUAGAGUCUGGGAGAGGAUGGUAGAAUUCCAGGUGUAGCGGUGAAAUGCGUAGAGAUCUGGAGGAAUACCGAUGGCGAAGGCAGCCAUCUCGCCUAACACUGACGCUGAGGUGCGAAAGCAUGGGGAGCAAACAGGAUUAGAUACCCUGGUAGUCCAUGCCGUAAACGAUGUCUACUAGCCGUUGGGGCCUUUGAGGCUUUAGUGGCGCAGCUAACGCGAUAAGUAGACCGCCUGGGGAGAACGGUCGCAAGACUAAAACUCAAAUGAAUUGACGGGGGCCCGCACAAGCGGUGGAGCAUGUGGUUUAAUUCGAUGCAACGCGAAGAACCUUACCUGGCCAUGACAUAGUAAGAACUUUCCAGAGAUGGAUUGGUGCCUUCGGGAACUUACAUACAGGUGCUGCAUGGCUGUCGUCAGCUCGUGUCGUGAGAUGUUGGGUAAAGUCCCGCAACGAGCGCAACCCUUUUCCUUAUUUGCCAGCGAGUAAUGUCGGGAACUUUAAGGAUACUGCCAGUGACAAACUGGAGGAAGGCGGGGGAGGACGUCAAGUCAUCAUGGCCCCUUACGGCCAGGGCUACACACGUGCUACAAUGGUCGGUACAAAGGGGUUGCUACCUAGCGAUAGGAUGCUAAUCUCAAAAAGCCGAUCGUAGUCCGGAUUGGAGUCUGCAACUCGACUCCAUGAAGUCCGAAUCGCUAGUAAUCGCGGAUCAGAAUGCCGCGGUGAAUACGUUCCCGGGCCUUGUACACACCGCCCGUCACACCAUGGGAGUUUGUUGCACCAGAAGUAGGUAGUCUAACCGCAAGGAGGACGCUUACCACGGUGUGGCCGAUG